rnacentral:rRNA from 1 species
GAUGAACGCUGGCGGAAUGCUUUACACAUGCAAGUCGAACGGUAGAGGGGGCAACCCCUCGAGAGUGGCGAACGGGUGAGUAAUAUAUCGGAACGUGCCCAGUCGUGGGGGAUAACGUAGCGAAAGUUACGCUAAUACCGCAUACGAUCUACGGAUGAAAGCGGGGGAUCGCAAGACCUCGCGCGAUUGGAGCGGCCGAUAUCAGAUUAGGUAGUUGGUGGGGUAAAGGCUCACCAAGCCAACGAUCUGUAGCUGGUCUGAGAGGACGACCAGCCACACUGGAACUGAGACACGGUCCAGACUCCUACGGGAGGCAGCAGUGGGGAAUUUUGGACAAUGGACGCAAGUCUGAUCCAGCCAUUCCGCGUGCAGGAUGAAGGCCCUCGGGUUGUAAACUGCUUUUGUACGGAACGAAAAGGUUUCUAUUAAUACUAGGAGCUCAUGACGGUACCGUAAGAAUAAGCACCGGCUAACUACGUG